UACGGAGGGAGCUAGCGUUGUCCGGAUUUAUUGGGUUUAAAGGGUGCGUAGGCGGCCUCUUAAGUCAGUGGUGAAAGCCCGCGGCUCAACCGCGGAACUGCCAUUGAUACUGGGAGGCUUGAGUACAGACGAGGUAGGCGGAAUUGAAGAUGUAGCGGUGAAAUGCUUAGAUAUCUUCAAGAACACCGAUUGCGUAGGCAGCUUACUAGGCUGUAACUGACGCUGAGGCACGAAAGCGUGGGGAGCGAACAGG
rnacentral:rRNA from 1 species